rnacentral:tRNA from 1 species
GCGUCUAUAGCUCAGUUGGUAGAGCAGCGGCCUCUUAAGCCGACGGUCGUAGGUUCGAAUCCUACUGGACGCACAA